rnacentral:lncRNA from 1 species
UUUCUCUCUUCUCAGUGCUGCAAUGGCAGCUACUGCUGGCUGCCUUGGCAGCCCACUCUCUCCUACAUUUCUCACAUCUUUGGCUCUUCUUUCCUUCUCUCAACUCUCUCAUUUUGCUCUCAACCGUAUGCCUCUAUUUAUAGGCAUCCAUGGUGCUGCUCCAUUUGUUCUUUGGUCAAUAAUGGUGGCUGCCAACUCCAGCUCUUCUUCAACAAAGGUGGCUGCCAACUCCAGCUCUUCUUCAACAAUGGUGGCUGCACCUAGCAGCCCUCUUUGACAAUGGCAAUGGCAGCCAUCCUCUUCUAGAAGAUAGGCUGUAAAUGCUCUAUGAUUGCUGCACAUAAUGGCAACAAUCCUAACAGCUAAUCGCUGGCCUUUUAUAGGGGCAGAACCAACUGGUUGUUCCCCAGUACCGAGUACGCCUCUUCUUUCCUUUGCAGAGGAUAAGUCCUUCGGGGACUUGGAUAUGGGACUCAAUCCUUAUCUCCCCCGGUGUUUAUCUCCAUGUGGAUACUCUUGAAACCCCGUGUUUUGGGUAGAUUGGGACACCAACAGUCCUGCAGCUGCUGGACUGUUGGUGGUGGUUUCUUCCCCGUCUCAAAGACCUGCUAACUGGAGGGAAUAAUCUGAGAAAUGGCGAUAGAAAUCGUGGAGAUUGUCUGUUCGUUUGUGGUGGCAAUUAAUGUUCUUCCUCUCCUUCUUUGCAGGGAGUUUCUUCUGUUCUUAGAGGAAGAAGACGAUAACCAGAAUUGAAAAACGGCGCCGUUUCUGGACUUGGCGGCCGUUUUUCAAUCUGGUCCUCCUAGUUUCAACAGUUUGUAAUCGGGCCCCUAGACAGAAGUUUGGUUCCUUUUACAAAAUGGUCCCCGAAC